AACGAACGCUGGCGGCAUGCCUAACACAUGCAAGUCGAACGAGACCUUCGGGUCUAGUGGCGCACGGGUGCGUAACGCGUGGGAAUCUGCCCUUUGGUUCGGAAUAACAGUUAGAAAUGACUGCUAAUACCGGAUGAUGACGUAAGUCCAAAGAUUUAUCGCCCAAGGAUGAGCCCGCGUAGGAUUAGCUUGUUGGUGAGGUAAAAGCUCACCAAGGCGACGAUCCUUAGCUGGUCUGAGAGGAUGAUCAGCCACACUGGGACUGAGACACGGCCCAGACUCCUACGGGAGGCAGCAGUGGGGAAUAUUGGACAAUGGGCGAAAGCCUGAUCCAGCAAUGCCGCGUGAGUGAUGAAGGCCUUAGGGUUGUAAAGCUCUUUUACCCGGGAUGAUAAUGACAGUACCGGGAGAAUAAGCCCCGGCUAACUCCGUGCCAGCCGCCGCUGUAAAAC
rnacentral:rRNA from 1 species